rnacentral:rRNA from 1 species
UACGGAGGGUGCGAGCGUUGUCCGGAAUCACUGGGCGUAAAGGGCGCGUAGGCGGCCUGAUAAGUAGGGGGUGAAAUCCUGCGGCUUAACCGCAGGGCUGCCUUCUAAACUGUCAGGCUCGAGCACAGUAGAGGCAGGUGGAAUUCCCGGUGUAGAGGUGAAAUUCGUAGAUAUCGGGAGGAACACCAGUGGCGAAGGCGGCGAUCUGGGUAGAUACUGACGCUGAGGUGCGAAAGCGUGGGGAGCAAACAGG